rnacentral:rRNA from 1 species
AACUUGAGUACUGAUGAGGUAGGCGGAAUUGACGGUGUAGCGGUGAAAUGCUUAGAUAUCGUCAAGAACACCGAUAGCGAAGGCAGCUUACUAAAGAGUAACUGACGCUGAGGCACGAAAGUGUGGGGAUCAAACAGGAUUAGAUACCCUGGUAGUCCACACUGUAAACGAUGAUUACCCGAUGUUGGCGAUACACAGCCAGCGUCUUAGCGAAAGCGAUAAGUAAU